UACGAAGGGGGCUAGCGUUGUUCGGAAUCACUGGGCGUAAAGGGCGCGUAGGCGGCCGAUCAAGUCGGGGGUGAAAGCCUGUGGCUCAACCACAGAAUUGCCUUCGAUACUGUUUGGCUUGAGACCGGAAGAGGUAAGUGGAACUGCGAGUGUAGAGGUGAAAUUCGUAGAUAUUCGCAAGAACACCAGUGGCGAAGGCGGCUUACUGGUCCGGUUCUGACGCUGAGGAGCGAAAGCGUGGGGAGCGAACAGG
rnacentral:rRNA from 1 species